CUCAACUAUUCUUUGUGGUAUCUCCCAUGAUGACUUGGGCAGUUCCAGUCCACAUUCUGAGCACAUGUUUCAGCACACAAUCCCAGCAACUUGGUUGUGUCUUUCAGUGUAUUGUUCCUGCUAACAUCUUGCAACUUGCCACUAUGUGCUAAAUUGUUUCAUAGAUUCUUUGUACCUUGAGCCUUGCCUUCCAUUUCUGCAUCCUCCAUCUGUUGUUGUCUCAGGCGUUUUCUUAGCAGUUCAUCUGUGG